CCUACGGGGGGCUGCAGUGGGGAAUAUUGCGCAAUGGGCGAAAGCCUGACGCAGCGACGCCGCGUGAGGGAUGAAGGUCUUCGGAUCGUAAACCUCUGUCAGCAGGGAAGAACGGUCACUGUGCUAAUCAGCAGUGAAUUGACGGUACCUGCAACGGAAGCACCGGCUAACUCCGUGCCAGCAGCCGCGGUAAUACGGAGGGUGCGAGCGUUAAUCGGAAUUACUGGGCGUAAAGCGCUCGUAGGCGGUAUGUCAAGUCAAGGGUGAAAUGCCCGCGCUCAACGUAGGAACUGCAUUUGAAACUGGCAAACUGGAGUGUGUGAGAGGAUAGUGGAAUUCCAGGUGUAGGAGUGAAAUCCGUAGAUAUCUGGAGGAACAUCAGUGGCGAAGGCGACUAUCUGGCACAUAACUGACGCUGAGGAGCGAAAGCGUGGGUAGCAAACAGGAUUAGAUACCCUUGUAGUC
rnacentral:rRNA from 1 species